rnacentral:rRNA from 1 species
UACGUAGGUCGCAAGCGUUGUCCGGAUUUACUGGGCGUAAAGAGCGCGCAGGCGGCUGGUCAAGUCCGAUGUGACAUCUCCCGGCUUAACUGGGAAACUGCAUUGGAAACUGAUCGGCUUGAAGGUGGGAGAGGGUAGUGGAAUUCCCGGUGUAGUGGUGAAAUGCGUAGAGAUCGGGAGGAACACCAGUGGCGAAGGCGACUACCGGGCCCAUUCGUGACGCUGAGGCGCGAAAGCUAGGGGAGCGAACGGA